GUGUGUGUGUGUGUGUGUGUGUGUGUGUGUGUGUGUGUGUGUGUGUGUGUGUGUGUGUGUGUGUGUGUGUGUGUGUGUGUGUGUGUGUGUGUGUGUGUCCUCUCACCUGGCUAUUCCAGUGAACCUGGACCGAGUCUGAUGCACACCUGUCACUCUGCCUCCAGAAGAAAAGAGUCCCAGAUGUUCGUGGUGGGGGCUCAGAGCAGUGUGAAUAACUACUACUGACGUAACUCACAAAACAGAUGAACGUGACACAUGAAGAGUGCUGAAUAUAUGAAUGCAUUUCUAUCCUAAUUUACAAUUACAUGUGGAAUUGUUGUAUUCAUUUGAUGGGUAUAGACUGUAAGUCAUGUCUCUGAUGGGUAUAGACUGUAAGUCAUGUCUCUUUGAUGGGUAUAGAUUUAAGUCAUGUCUGAUGAGUAUAGACUGUAAGUCAUGUCUCUUUGAUGCACGUUCAUAAGAUCUCAAAUGCUGAAAGAUCUUUUCGAAAAUACUCAUUGAUUGUAAAUGUUUUUUCCCCUCUUUUUGUUGCUGUCUUUAAUUUAGAGAUUAAUUCUGAUGGACCUUUAUAAAAUGGCACUAUAGUUGAUAAAUUAAGUUACAUCAUAUUCAUAAGCUAUCUAAGCAGGAUGAUAAAAACAAAUAGGCUACCUCUUAAUGAAUAACCCCUGUUUGAGUAAUAGCUUAUCAUCUGAAAAGAUAUAUUCAUGUAAGAAUAUUCUGUAAGUUUGCUAAUAUGCCAAAUAGGCUAUGUUACAAAAGUAAGAUAGAUGUCUGAAACGCCAGUUCAUCCAAGCCAUAACGUAGGCGCUACCUAUCACGUAUAUAUCGAAUGAUCUUCACUUCUGUCAAAGAAUGCAAAUGGUUGAAUGAUGACUUGUCAAAAGUCAAUCGUUUUUUCCUACUAAGCACCUUUUGCUGAGCACAUUACAUUGGUAAAAUGUUCUAAGGCAUUUGUGGUUUGUUCAUAUUUCAUGUUUAGUUACAUGUCGGUGCAGGCAUACAGCUAGUAGACUAUGGCGACAGCGGGGUGUCUUCAAGGCAAGAAUAGCCUAGGAUACACUGUUGUGAGACGCUCUGAACAUCAAAAUGCCCAACAACAAGUCUACAUUUUCCACAGUCGUGACAUCGCGCCAAGGAGACGCAUAUUCUCUCAAUAAUCAUGUUGGAGUUGUCAUUUUGGCUCACAAAUGUACAGUGCAACGGAAUAAAAUGUUAGAAAUUCA